AAAUAAUAAUGAAAUUCUCUAUUGAAAAUAUUAUGUGUAUUAUAAGGAACUCUUUUAUUCAUCUAACUUCUAUUUGGAUUAUCCCUUCGAAUACUCAAUUCAUUAAGAAAUAAACAUAAAUUAUGUCUUUUUUCACGAGUAAGACGGAUGUGACAUCUAUUUUAAAGACGUUUUCUGGUGUAAAACGACAUCAAGCAAAUGCCGUGGCCAUCAACAAAGUUCGAUUUUCCACACCCAAAGAGAAAGGCCUCGCAGAAUCAGUGCGCGUGGCCCUAGAAGAUCGAAAUUUCCAUCUGGUCAAGGAGUUCACAUACUUCAUCCGGGAAGCAGAACUUAGCGAUGGCGAGGUUGUUUUAAUCAUGAAAGAUGCCAAACGAAUUGUUCACAAUUUGACUCCUGAGUUUGUUACCGUUGUCGAGGCUUUACUGUCCCUUAACUGGAGGAAAAGAAGUUCAGAGAUAAUCGAAGCUUAUACUGAAUUUUGUAUAGAAUUACUGGUGGCUCACAAUAGAUACUUACCUAUUGGAGUGUCCAAACUUAUUGUCCAUUGGAUUCCAGGAGAUUUGGAUGAAUCCGAGUGGGUCAACGGAGGCCCUUCGGAAAAUACGCGAAAUGAGUUGAAACCUAUCCAUAAAGUACUGGAUCGCAUUUUAACUGCCGUGCCAAUGGCAUUUGAUAUUAUGAUUGAUGCGAUAUCCGCCAAAUUCCCCUAUUUUAAAAAGCCAUGCCAUGUGACGGCAGGGUAUUUGUAUAACGUGCUUUGGUUGUUAGAGUACAAGCCUAUAUUCGAGGAACUUGUUUUACAACUGGUUUUGCAAAAAAAAUCCUAUUCUAUUCGCAAAGUUUCCACAGUGCUGCUGUGAAUAACUUCGAUAUAUGCAUAUCUUAACACGGAAAAAUAUGUAACCAGUAAAGUUUGAAUAGAAAUGGCUUUUAUUGUUAGAUGUUAACGCUCCAAAAGAUGAAAUUGAAUUAGAAAUGAAUGAUCAGGAGGACAAAGUGGAAUCGGAUACCUU
rnacentral:misc_RNA from 1 species